rnacentral:rRNA from 1 species
CGCUGGCGGCGCGCCUAACACAUGCAAGUCGAGCGAGAACCAGGGCUUCGGCCCUGGGSACAGCGGCGAACGGGUGAGUAACACGUGGAUAACCUGCCCUCGGCACCGGAAUAGCCCGGGGAAACCCGGAUUAAUGCCGGAUAGCCCCACAUCCCUGCGGGGAACGUGGGAAAAGGUAGCUUCGGCCUCUGGCCGAGGAUGGGUCCGCGGUGGAUUAGCUUGUUGGCGGGGUAACGGCCCACCAAGGCGACGAUCCAUAGCUGGUCUGAGAGGACGAUCAGCCACACUGGGACUGAGACACGGCCCAGACUCCUACGGGAGGCAGCAGUGGGGAAUCUUGCGCAAUGGGCGAAAGCCUGACGCAGCGACGCCGCGUGCGGGAAGAAGGCCUUCGGGUUGUAAACCGCUUUCAGGAGGGACGAAGCCACUCGGGUGAAUAGCCCAGAGGGUGACGGUACCUCCAGAAGAAGCCCCGGCUAACUACGUGCCAGCAGCCGCGGUAAUACGUAGGGGGCAAGCGUUGUCCGGAUUCAUUGGGCGUAAAGAGCGUGUAGGCGGCCAGGUAGGUCGGUUGUGA